GACGAACGCUGGCGGCGUGCUUAACACAUGCAAGUCGAACGAUGAUGCCCAGCUUGCUGGGCGGAUUAGUGGCGAACGGGUGAGUAACACGUGAGUAACCUGCCCUUGACUUCGGGAUAACUCCGGGAAACCGGGGCUAAUACCGGAUAUGAGCCGUCCUCGCAUGGGGGUGGUUGGAAAGUUUUUCGGUCAGGGAUGGGCUCGCGGCCUAUCAGCUUGUUGGUGGGGUGAUGGCCUACCAAGGCGACGACGGGUAGCCGGCCUGAGAGGGCGACCGGCCACACUGGGACUGAGACACGGCCCAGACCCCUACGGGAGGCAGCAGUGGGGAAUAUUGCACAGUGGGCGAAAGCCUGAUGCAGCGACGCCGCGUGAGGGAUGAAGGCCUUCGGGUUGUAAACCUCUUUCAGCAGGGA
rnacentral:rRNA from 1 species